rnacentral:misc_RNA from 1 species
UCAAAAACAGCGGCCUUCGGGCCUCGCUGCACCCUUGUCUUUUUGCGCACCGUAUUGUUUUCCUCGGCGGGCUUGCCUGCCGGUUUGGACAUCAUAAAAACCUCUUUUGUAGUUUGCAAUCAGCGUCAGAAAAAAACAAUAAUUAUUAC